AACUGCGAGUGAAGCGGGAAAAGCUCAAAUUUAAAAUCUGGCGGUCUUUGGCCGUUCCGAGUUGUAAUUUAGAGAAGUGCCUUCCGCGCCGGACCAUGCACAAGUCUCCUGGAAUGGAGCGUCAUAGAGGGUGAGAAUCCCGUCUUUGGCAUGGACGCUCGGUGCUUCUGUGAUGCGCUCUCGAAGAGUCGAGUUGUUUGGGAAUGCAGCUCAAAAUGGGUGGUGAACUCCAUCUAAAGCUAAAUAUUGGCGAGAGACCGAUAGCGAACAAGUACCGUGAGGGAAAGAUGAAAAGCACUUUGGAAAGAGAGUGAAACAGUACGUGAAAUUGUUGAAAGGGAAACGCUUGAAGUCAGUCGCGUCGACCAAGACUCAACCUUGCCCUCGGCUCGGUGUACUUCUUGGCUGACGGGCCAGCAUCAAUUUUGACCCUUGGAUAAUGGCGAGGGGGAAGGUGGCACCCUUUACGGGGUGUGUUAUAGCCUCUAGUCGCAUGUGAGGGUUGGGAUUGAGGAACUCAGCACGCACCUUUUAGGUGUCGGGGCUUCGGCCC
rnacentral:rRNA from 1 species